UCGGUAGGUGAACCUGCGGAAGGAUCAUUACCGAGUGCGGGUCCUUUGGGCCCAACCUCCCAUCCGUGUCUAUUGUACCCUGUUGGCACCGCGUGCCCGCCGCUUGUCGGCCGCCGGGGGGGCGCCUCUGCCCCCCGGGCCCGUGCCCGCCGGAGACCCCAACACGAACACUGUCUGAAAGCGUGCAGUCUGAGUUGAUUGAAUGCAAUCAGUUAAAACUUUCAACAAUGGAUCUCUUGGUUCCGGCAUCGAUGAAGAACGCAGCGAAAUGCGAUAACUAAUGUGAAUUGGAGAAUUCAGUGAAUCAUCGAGUCUUUGAACGCACAUUGCGCCCCCUGGUAUUCCGGGGGGCAUGCCUGUCCGAGCGUCAUUGCUGCCCUCAAGCCCGGCUUGUGUGUUGGGACGCCGUCCCCCUCUCCGAGGGGACGGGCCCGAAAGGCAGCGGCGGCACCGCGUCCGAUCCUCGAGCGUAUGGGGCUUUGUCACAUGCUCUGUAGGCACCGCGUCGCCUGCCGACGUUUUCCAACCAUUCUUUCCAUGUUGACCUCGAAUCAGGUAGGGAUACCCGCUGAACUUAAGCAUAUCAAUAAGCGGAGGA
rnacentral:rRNA from 1 species